GAUGAACGCUGGCGGCGUGCUUAACACAUGCAAGUCGAACGAUGAAGCCCAGCUUGCUGGGUGGAUUAGUGGCGAACGGGUGAGUAACACGUGAGUAACCUGCCCUUAACUCUGGGAUAAGCCUGGGAAACUGGGUCUAAUACCGGAUAGGAGCGUCCACCGCAUGGUGGGUGUUGGAAAGAUUUAUCGGUUUUGGAUGGACUCGCGGCCUAUCAGCUUGUUGGUGAGGUAAUGGCUCACCAAGGCGACGACGGGUAGCCGGCCUGAGAGGGUGACCGGCCACACUGGGACUGAGACACGGCCCAGAAUCCUACGGGAGGCAGCAGUGGGGAAUAUUGCACAAUGGGCGCAAGCCUGAUGCAGCGACGCCGCGUGAGGGAUGACGGCCUUCGGGUUGUAAACCUCUUUCAGUAGGGAAGAAGCGAAAGUGACGGUACCUGCAGAAGAAGCACCGGCUAACUACGUG
rnacentral:rRNA from 1 species